CGGAGGCGCGUGCACAGUCCGUGUAACGGCUUUGCUUGGCGCGUCUCCGUUUCUCUUCUGAGGGGCUGAGAGUCGCGGAGUUUCCUGGUUGGAGGCUGUGGCGGACGCGAUUUGCUUCCUCAUAUAGGGUUCCGGAGGCGGCGGAAAGUCCAGCGGGUCUCCGAAGCCGGUAGACGGAGCCAUGAAGAAGACCUCGGGCUUCAGGAGGGGGAAGGGCGAGCUGCCCUGGGGCUCGGUCAGCAGCCCCGGGAAGGUGGGCGCGGGCGCCGGGAGUGAGAGUGAGGACCACGCCUCCUCCCAGCCCAGGCGCCACGACCCGGACAAGGGGUUCGACAGGCUCCGCAGAGCUGCCGGCCGACACCGGACAGAGACGAUGCGGCGGAUCCUUUCUCUGCCGAAGAGUGGCGUGGAUGACAGAGACGAGAAGAACAGGCUGUCCUGUGGACAGAGUUCUGGUGACUCAUGGCUUUCAGUAGAUGACGAACCCUUUGAUUCUGAUACCAAGACUACCUUUGAGAAUGUUCCACAGAAAUAUGAUAGUCGCUUAACUGGAGCUGAUGGUCAAAGAGGAAAAAGUACAAUAAAGGAACAAGAAGGUAGGA
rnacentral:lncRNA from 1 species